UAACUAAGAACUAAUAACGUAAAUGCAAGAAAACUAGUUAACUAAGUCGCAUAAAUAUGCGUCUAUCAUCCAUGAUGUUCAAAUGAUGUCCCCUUAGACAUUUUGGUCUUUACUAGGCUACAGACAUUUGAGAAUGACCGUAUUGCAUUGUAGUUGUAACUAAAUAAGUUCGCCAACCACUUCUACUUAGCUUGGGUAACCAUGACAUAUUGCUAGGUGUUACUCAUGGUUUGUGGAAGCCUUGAAGAUUAACGAUCACUAAUCUUCAUCACAUGGAGAAUUGAAAGUAAGUUUCAAUUCACAAUCGAUUAGUAAGAGUACAAUCAUCCACUGCCUCGCUAAUUGGAACCUAAUAGAUCGUACACCGUGUAUGAGCUUGAAGAACUAUUAAUGAGAUGGAUAAGUUCAUUUAAAUUGUUUAAUUGAUAAUAGUCAAUAUUGAUUAAAUAGUUAAUUAAUCAUAAGAAAGGUUCAUAUUAGGUUUUAAAUUAGUUUCAGCUUUCGAGGCCCAGUGGGCUUUUGUCCAAAGGCCUAUUAGGCUUAAGUUGUAUGACAACUUAAACAAAAUGGGUCAAACAACCCAAUGACUAUAGGGAGCCAUCCUUGGAGGGUUUUGUACUUAAUUUCAUGCCAUUCAUUUGUGAGGUGGUAUAAAAGUGACUUUAUAGACAAAAACUCAUUAGGGUUCUUUGAGGGCAAAAUUUGGAGGCGGUUUCUCUCUUCUUUCUCUCUUAAAUAGUCGGUUGUAUAGGGGAGCUUUUUCUAGUAUCUAAAGCUUCCCUUGAGUCUUCCAUCUUUUCUUCACAUAUCUACCUUGGUGUGGAGACUUAGAGGUUCUAUCCUUUUAGUGCUUGGAGAAUCCCUUCACUAAAUCUUCGAGAAGCAAAGGAGCAAGCAAGAAGCAAAGUUCCAAGGAUUCUAGGAGCCAAAUCCAUGGAGCAUAUGAAGAGGAAUGAAAGCCUUCACAUGGGUGAUAACCUUCUGAAAAGAAGGAAGGGCUUCAAAGGUAUGAAUGCUCAAUCUUUCUUUUUUCCUUUUAUGGAAAGAGUCUUGGUUCUUCACCAUUCACUAGGCCUUGAAUUUCAUGGGACUCAGAUUUGUUAUUGAGUUCAUGCUUUACUUUUAAUUGUUAAUAAAUGCAUGUGUUGCUACAACAAUCUCUACAUAGUCAAUAAUUUGUCUUCAAGUGGUAUCAGAGGCCUAGAUCUAGGGUUUGGUGAAUCCAUUUGUAUUUUGUAUUUUCAUAGUUUAUGAUUUGAAUGUUGUAAUUGUUACAAAUUUUGUUCCUGUUUCUUUGAAUGUAAAUUUUGUUUGAAAAUUUGUUAUCUCAAAAGUUGUAGAUGUAGUUCAUUUAAGCAUGAAUUUUGGAGCUAAAAUUGGGUGCCCUAUUUAUGGGGAAAUUCGACCAAAUCCAUGUGUGGAUUUUUGGGUUCAUGUUUGUCUUGCUAAAAGAGUUUGAAAGUGACAUUAGGAAGUAACCUAGUAUGUUAACCCUCUUUUAAGUAAUGUAAUUUUGAGUUUUGUUGAGUGAAAGCAUUCAUGGAGCUCUUCUGGUUUUCACGGACGUUCUUCAAUAUCCUUACUUUGUUCUUGAUGUUCAUACCAAGAACCAAAAGUUUGGUGUUUUGAUUUAAAGCUUUUGGUUGUUACCUAAAGUAUUGUUUGUCAUGGUUGGUGUGACUUGAUUUGUACUUUUCAAUCAACACCAUACCUAUCACUUUUUCAACACACUUUAAAAUUUUGAAUUUUCACCAAAAGCCAACCCCUCCUUUACACUACCCAAAACCGGGCCACCUUAUAAAAUAGGGUACUUUUGGAUAUUUUUUACAAUUACAUAAUGUUUUGAUACUUUUGUGUAUUUGCACUUUGACCCAAAAUUCUAUGUUUUUACAUGAAGGCCUAAAAUCACUAAAGGACAAAUUGUUUUGUGCCUUUAAUGGAGGUUUGGUAACUAUUGAAAUUUUUGGGUUCUAAUUGUAAUUACAUGAAGUUGUGGACUCUUCUGUUUUACAAAGUGACCUCAAAAGUUGGUAUUUUGCAUAAUACCCAAUGGUUGAGGUUAUUACAUUUAGGCCCAAAUUAGCUAGAGCACAAAAUAUUUUUGUCUCUUUAAUGAGAAUUUGAUUUUCAUUUCAUUUAGCUCCAUUUAAAUAAACUCUAUAGAUUUAAGAACCAAUUGUUUAAGUUGCUUUCUUAGUUAAUGUGAUUAGUUUUGAUACGGGAUGAUUAUGAACCAAAGACCUACGAUAAUUGAGUUAUGUGAUUUGCCGCUUUACAUUGAAUGAAUGAGAUGUGUAGAUUAGAUUUGAAUGUAAUUUGAUUAGAUCAAAUGUGAUCCAAAAGGGCAUAAGCCCUUCUCUUUAUUCCAUGUAUUCCUUUAUUUUUUUUAUUUGUAUGCAAAUUGGAAUAGUUCGGUCCAACGCCCAAUAGAAAAUAACGGUGUACUUGAAUUAAACGUGUAAUUAAAAUCAACUACCCUCCCUAAACCAAAGGUCCAACACAAGGCUUGUGUUAGAUCAAUUCAAAUGGUUCAUAAUCAUCUUAAGACCUAAGAUAACUAUAUAGUCCAUAUGAGAAUGCCAAGCAUGAAGUGAAAUAUUUGUGAAAACUAGUUCAUUUGAACAACAUCUAUGCAUGCAAUUAACAAUUAAAAAGUGGAAUCAUGCUUGUAUGCACUCUUAAACAAAACUUUACCCAUGAAAUUUAAGGCCUAGUAAUUGUGGUGAACCAAGACUCAACUCAAAUCUUAAAGAAAGGAGUUGAGAAACUUUUAUACCUUUGAAGCGCCUCUUUGCUUGGCAAAGGAUAUUCACCCAUGUUAGGGCCUUCUUUCCUUAGUCUCCUUACUCCUUGACUCCAUGGAUGUGGAUGAAGGAACUUUGCUUCUUGGCUCCAUGACUUCUUGGAUGGAUGAAGGAAUGGAUUCUCCAAGUUCCCAAAAUAGGAAACCUUUAAGUCUCCACACCAAGGAGAGCAUUGAGGAAGAGAUGAGUGACCAAGGAAGAAAUAGAUGCUAGUAAUUUCUCCCUAGGGUGGCGGCCUCUUAGAGAGAAAAUGAGAGCUUGUGUUCUCUCCAAUUUCCUCAAAGAAAACCCUAAUGAUGAAAUGGCUAUAAAGAUGCAUUUAUACCACCUCACAUUUGAGUGGCAAACUUGCAAUUAAGCCAAGUUCACUACCUCUCACUCUUAUGGACGACCUUGAUGGGUUUAUGGGGCUUUCAUGUCACAU
rnacentral:lncRNA from 1 species